UGACGCGACGCGGGAGAAACCUCGCUAUCGAGGCGCCGUAGGAGCAAUCUCCUCCCCGAGAAUCUCUCAGGCCCCAGUACCGCAUCGCCGAG
rfam:Mycobacterium marinum M, complete genome.